CCUACGGGAGGCAGCAGUGGGGAAUAUUGCACAAUGGGGGGAACCCUGAUGCAGCGACGCCGCGUGGGUGAAGGAGUAUUUCGGUAUGUAAAGCCCUAUCAGCAGGGAAGAACAAUGCCGGUACCUGACUAAGAAGCACCGGCCAAAUACGUGCCAGCAGCAGCGGGAACACGGAGGGUGCAAGCGUUAUCCGGAUUUACUGGGUGUAAAGGGGGGGCAGGCGGCGCGUUAAGCCUGGUGUGAAAGUCCGCGGCCCAACCGCGGGACUGCCUUGGACACUGGCGCGCUGGAGUGCAGGAGGGGUAGGCGGAAUUCCUAGUGUAGCGGUGAAAUGCGUAGAUAUUAGGAGGAACACCAGUGGCGAAGGCGGCCUACUGGACGGUGACUGACGCUGAGGCUCGAAAGCGUGGGGAGCAAACAGGAUUAGAUACCCGGGUAGUC
rnacentral:rRNA from 1 species